UACGUAGGGCGCAAGCGUUGUCCGGAAUUAUUGGGCGUAAAGAGCUCGUAGGCGGUUUGUCGCGUCUGUCGUGAAAGCUUGGGGCUUAACCCCAAGUCUGCGGUGGAUACGGGCAGACUAGAGGCAGGUAGGGGAGAACGGAAUUCCCGGUGUAGCGGUGAAAUGCGCAGAUAUCGGGAGGAACACCGGUGGCGAAGGCGGAUCUCUGGGCCUUACCUGACGCUCAGGUGCGAAAGCUAGGGGAGCGAACAGG
rnacentral:rRNA from 1 species